rnacentral:rRNA from 1 species
UACGUAGGGUGCAAGCGUUGUCCGGAAUUACUGGGCGUAAAGCGUGCGCAGGCGGUUUUGUAAGACAGAGGUGAAAUCCCCGGGCUCAACCUGGGAACUGCCUUUGUGACUGCAAGGCUUGAGUGCGGCAGAGGGGGAUGGAAUUCCGCGUGUAGCAGUGAAAUGCGUAGAUAUGCGGAGGAACACCGAUGGCGAAGGCAAUCCCCUGGGCCUGCACUGACGCUCAUGCACGAAAGCGUGGGGAGCAAACAGG